UACGUAGGGGGCAAGCGUUGUCCGGAAUCAUUGGGCGUAAAGCGCGCGUAGGCGGCCCGGUAAGUCCGCUGUAAAAGUCAAGGGCUCAACCCUUGAACGCCGGUGGAUACUGCCGGGCUAGAGUCCGGAAGAGGCGAGUGGAAUUCCUGGUGUAGCGGUGAAAUGCGUAGAUAUCGAGAGGAACACCUGCGGCGAAGGCGGGUAGCUGGGCCGACACUGACGCUGAGGCGCGAAAGCCAGGGGAGCGAACGGG
rnacentral:rRNA from 1 species